rnacentral:lncRNA from 1 species
GAUCACAGCACCCACCUUCACGUCGAUCACGCUCCCUCUGGGUUGCCGAUUUCUACCCUCAAGGCUGUAGCCUCGAGGGACCAGGGGUAGCUGAGAUAUUAAAGUGGAACCAAUUCCAAGGCCAGCUUCAGCAGGCAUCAGAAGGUUAAAUGUCAAUGCACAUGGCAGGCAUCUGGCACUGUGCCCAGCAUGCUGUGGCGCUCAGUAGAGUCCCCGUUACCAUCACUGUGGCGGUUAUUCUUCAGGAUCCCCAGAGCCAUGGCCAGUCGGAUGGGGGCUGGGUGGAGCCUCUGCUGCUUGUCCCCAUGUGCACCCUGCGUCCCACGCCCGUCCUUCCUCUGCUGGGCAGUAGACGCCCCCACAACCUGGGACCUGCCUGUCUUCGGAGCCAGUCUGAAUUGUACACAGUGAUGCUCACCCAAUUAAUUUUCACUGGCUUGGGGAUAUAUUUUUUUUAAGAAGACAUUUUUCCAGGGGGAAAAACACGCAGGAGCUAUAAUUAGUUGGGAAGAGGAAAGAAGAGCGGAGUGUGUGAAUCACCAGCCCCAGUGACAGACUGUUGGAGCCGAGCAGAAGUUUCAAGAGAAGCCACUGGGUUGUGGGAUCAGGAAAGGGAUGAAAUACUGGGUUAUACAAUCCACUGUUGCAUGUAGCCUGAAAAUAACACUUUUUGUUAAAAAAAA